UAGCCCAGGAAGAAAUGUGGGGCCAAUAAAGAUGAAGGGAAAGGUUAUUACAUCAGCAACAAACAACAUUGGCACAAUUACAAAACUCAGGCUUUAACUGACUGUUUGAGCAGAUAUUUGCCAGUCGUUGAAUCCCUCAAAAUUCUCUCGCAAGUCCAGGAAUUUAAAGCAAACAAUAUAUUAAUAACUGCUCCAGUGCUGUUUCCUCACUCUAUCCCAUCAUUCACCAGACACCCACAAUCAGUGAGCAAAGCAUGCAUGCUCUCCAGUGGCCAAAGUCAAUCCUCUGCAGCUUAGUGAAAGAAGUCACAGUUGCAUAAGUCCCAUUGGAAGAAAACUGUGCUCUCCAGU
rnacentral:lncRNA from 1 species